rnacentral:lncRNA from 1 species
UGAACAUCGAUGCAAAAAAAAUCACAAGCAUUCUUAUACACCAACAACAGACAAACAGAGAGCCAAAUCAUGAGAGGGUGCAUCUGUUGUUUCAGCAGCAAGGCAAUGACAAUGAAAAAAAGAUUGGGUCCAAUAAGAUUGCAAAUGAGGGACAUUCACAGCCUUUGUAGAAUCAUCUCUGGUUUUUACAAUAUCAUGAUUCUGGUUUUCUCAGAAGAAGUAAAACAGUGAGAGAUAAAUAACAUUAAUAAUUUGACAAUCAAAAGAGAAUGUGUAUGUCAGAAUGGAAAAAGGAACCUAUUCUGUUAGGGAGACAACUAAAACCAUCAUGCAGAAAUUAAUUUUAAUUGAGACAAAAGAUUUAGGAAAAAGUUGCUCUGUAGGUUGGAGACACAAAUUUUAUUUUAGACCAGCAGACUAUUAGAAAUGCUGGUACAAAACUCAAGAAAGGAGUCAGAAUUAAAGACAAACACAUAGCUGUGUCAUAAUCCUACCCAUUUUAUAACUGAGAAAUAUGGGAGAAAAGAUUGUUGUCGCCUCUCUAAUAUACCCAUUAUAAUCUUCAACCUGCUGAGUACUGGGGGAUUAGGAUCAUGGGGGAACAAACAGAUAAACAACAGCUAACACAAGAAAAUGGAUUUAAUCAGGUUUAAAGCUUAGUCUUAUGUAAGAAUUUAAACAUUUCGUUUCAAUAAUGCUUAGUGUCUUGGAAUAAUUGCUCAGGGUCUCAGAUAGCUUCUCUUCCUAAGACAACAUCUAAGUAUGUGGUGCUGGGGUGGCUUCUAUGAUGUUACAGCUUAAGGAAGGCAGGAUUCCCAGAUUUGCAUAUUAUCCCAAGGCUCCUCUGGUUGCCAUGGCGAUGUCCUUUGUUUGCUGGCUGCUGCUGCUCUCUCUCAGCAUUUGGAUUGCUUCUCCCACAGUUUGGUCAGAGCCUAGUGAUGCUGCUGGUUGACAAAGCUUCUGGUAUUGGGGAGCCCUCUGGAUAUGAGCUGGAGUCAGCUCAGGCUGGGUGGCUCACUCUGAGCCUCCAUCUUCACUUCCACACAGAAGUCUCACCUGGCAAGCUCCCUAGCAAGAUACUCUAGGGCUGACAUUUGCCCACCUUGGGAAAGCUAAACUCAUAGGCUCAGGUGCAAAGUUAUUUUGAUACUUUCUUGGUUAUUUGCCUUUUAAUUUGUUUAGUAUCUAUCACUGGCCGCCCUCCUUCCUCUAACACAUACACACACUAGAAUAUAAGCUCAUGAUAAUGGGGAUCUUGUAAUUCUUGUUCAUUGCUGAAUAACAAGCUCCAGGAAAAGUACCUGUCACAUCAUUGGCUAAUAAUAGACCUCUGUUAAAUCAAUGAAAGGAGGAAGGACAAAAAUAAUAGAUGAAAUCCCUAAGGAAGAACAUGUCAAGUGAGAACAAGAUGAGGACUAAAGUGUUUAGUACAUCUUCUACUUUCUAUUUUAGAGGCAGAAGGCAAAAGAGGCUCUAGGGAAGGAAAGUGAGAACUAUUCAAGAGAAGUGUGCAGAGGUUGGGAGUGUAAAAUUGGGGCAAGCAUGCAUCAGUAGACAGAGGUGAUCACUGUUGCAUAAAGCUUCAGAAGUUGAGCAGGAGUAACGGAAUUGGCAACUUGAAGGUUAUUGGUAAUUUCAGGGAAAGUGGUACCAAGACAUGAACCUGGGAAAUUCAGUUUCAAGGAAUUGUGCCAUAAAAGGGAGAAGAGAAUUGCAGCAGGUGAAGUCUUUUAUGAAGAUUGAAGUGAAGGGAAGAAGAAUUAGGAUAUGCCACCUGACUCUUCAGAGCAAAAGACUCACGGAGGAUUUUUUUUUUUUUUUUUUUUUGCCUCCAAGACAGAAGAGACUUGGUGUAUUGGUAUGUAGGGAGGAACUGGUGGAGAGGAAAAUGAGGAAGACUGAAGAAGAAGAUGGUUUAUGAAUUUAGGUCUCAGAACUUGACUGGGAAGGGAUGAGAUCAGCCUUAGAAAGGAAGAUAAGAAAAUAAGAAUGGAUGGAAAAUAGGAAAUCUGAAGCAAGUGGGAGGAAAAUAGAAGAAUUCACAUCCGAUUUUGCUCAGUACAAGAGGUGUCCGGCUUAUUGGCUAAGAAUGUGUGUGUGCAGACCCCUGUGAAAAUUGCAUGGUGAAACAGGGCCAUGUCACAAGGUGUGGCUCCUUACUGCCCACACUUCUUUGAUCCUUUAUUGACUCAAAGUGAGUGGCCAUGCUCCCUGGAGGUUCCUUUAGAGAGAGUGCUUUAAAGAGAGUGCUUUAGACAUUCUUGUUUAAAUUCAGAUAGGAGACUUGGUUAAGGUCUGAGUGUCUUCUCCCUAUAGCGUAAUCAGUUUCUAAAGAGAGGCCUGGGUGCCUUAAGGUUCCCUAGAAUCAAUAUGAGGAUCUCAAAUCUCAGACUCAACCCUCUUCAUGAUUCUGGAUUAUGUAAGUGAUAUGAAUAAUUUCAGUACUACAAAUCUCAGGUUUGUCCCUCAGCAAUGCUGACU